UAUAAAUGUGGUAGGGUGCUAUUUAGACUGCUUAAUUUACAAGCUUCAUCUCCCAGGAUGUUGUGAAGCUCUCAGGUCCAAAGUCUCGUGAAGCCAAGAUAAGCAUGCUUGAUCAUGCCAAUGCCCAGUUGCUGGAACUUGAAUUAUGCUAGUGGCUCUGGUACCUCACCGCGAGGCAAUUAGUUUGCUCAUUACAUUGUUGCAAAAACCUAAUGACAGUUGUCUAGUUCCUGUUGUUUGGUUAUAAAUUCAUAAUAUGGAGGGGCUAGAAUAAAAAUGAGAGCAGGUGAGAUGCACAUCCAAGAUUACAGAUAUUUCAUGCACUAGAAAGAGAUUAUUGAGCAACUACCUUACAGCUUUCUGUCUCCCUUAGAGCGGAAGCAGCAGCUCUUUUGUUACGGACCCUGAUACAACGAAUUCUAAAUUCACGUCAGCUUUGAAUUCAUCAUAUUACAACGAUUCAUUCAUAGAACAAAAUUUCAAUGGCAAAAAGAGAUCACCUGCGAAGGAAAAAAGCCUUUAGCUGUAUCAAAUCCUCAAUUUUUCGAUGGCGAAAGCUAAAUUCCAGAAAACCCAAUCACCAGAUUUCCAGCAUGAAGCAGUCGAUCCUUGGUUUCACUAUCCAUACAAAAAAAAAAAGAAAAAAAAAGAUGAUGAUCUAGAAAGAAGAAAACAGUUAACCUUUACCAAUAGAGAACAAGAUUGAAAAUGUAAAUAAAAUUGGGUCAAGAUGAAGAACCAACCUGCGAG